UAAAGGCAGCUCAAAAAGGAGAGGGAAGAUUCCAAGAUGACAAACAGGUGGUGAGGUGUUUAGACCUAUUAUGCUGUGACUCCAUCAUGAAUAUGCGGUUUCUUUGCUAUGUGGCCAUUAUUCUUCUGGGACCAGGCCUUAUGGAUGCUGGAGUUACCCAGAUUCCAAGAUUCCUGGUCACAAGGAAAGGAGAGAAUGUGACAUUUACAUGUAACCCUAUUGAAGGACAGACUUGGGUUUAUUGGUAUCAACAACUCUUAGAAAAAGAGAUCAAAUUUUUGAUAUAUUUCCAGGGCAUCAAUAAAAUGGAUGACUCAGGGAUGCCCAAAGAUCGAUUCUCAGCUAAAUGUCUUCAAAACAGGCGAUGUGAGCUGUCAAUCCAGCCCACGGAGCCUGGGGACUCGGGCAUCUUUUUCUGUGCCAGCAGUACAACCACAGUGUGGCAAAGUCUUCUCUUCUCUGGGCAUAAACCUCCAGCCACCGCACACAGGAAACAGCUAAUGGAGCAGCUUGUAACAUGGAGUUGGGACCUUGAAUCAGAGUUUGAGAUGAAGAAUUAUGAUUCAUGUAACUCUACAGACCCUGGGAAGCUCGGAGGAUAUGGCGGUGCUACGUAA